rnacentral:lncRNA from 1 species
CAACCACGAUUCCAGCCUCCCAGCAAUAUCUCUCAGGCCCCGCGCUCGCCACCAACGCCUCGGCUCCGAUCAUUUAUUGCGUCCUAAUCCGCCGCUCCACCGUGGUUUUUACCGUCCAUCCUCUGUUUCUUUCCUAAAACCCGCCCGCAAUUCCCAAAUCCCAUGCUUAGCGAUCGUCGCCGUGUUUGCAUAAGACGGCCAAGGAAAAGCUUAGAGUUAUCGUAAAAUAACUCCCUUGUCUGUGCACCUAGCACCAUGGGCGGAGCCGUCUUUUAGAACUCCAUCCCUCCAAGCUUACAGAGACAGACCCAUUUUUUUUUUCUCUCUCUAUCUCUCUCUGCAAACUCUUCGUCGCCGACGAGGAGAGGAGAGCAGAACAGGGCAUUUCUAUUUGUAGAAGAAAAAAACUAGGAGAAGGCCCAGAGGAGGAGAGAUAGAGGAGGAGAGAGAAGACAUGGAAGGCGGUCCGGCGACGAGGCCGAGGGGAGGGUCAGCCCAUUAGCUCGGUCCCUUUUUUCUGGGAGGUCUGAAAAGGGGAGGGGAGGGGGCGGCCUUUGACUGGUGUUCUACUCCCAACCCGCAAGUCAGCCUCCGCUCCCAUCUUUUUAAUCUAAGUUUUUGUUUCUCUCUCUUAAUAAUCUCUAUUUCUUCCUCCAGUUCUAUCGCUUCUUCUUGUUUCGGUUCGACGACGCCUGUUGGCUAGCGAGAGAGACAGACAGAGAGAGAGAGAGAGGAGGGGAGAAGGGGACAAGAGAGGCGUCU